CUGGAUAUGGUCGUCCUGUCCCUGUACCUGGCAGCCUUCGCACUGCGCCUCCUCCUGGCUGGGCUUGCCCCCAUGCACUGCCGGGACGCCUCCCAAGCGGCUGCCUGCCACUAUUUCACCAUGGCUGAAUGAAGCGAGUGGCACACCGAGGAUCCCCAGUUCUUGGCUGAGGUGCUCUUCACUGCCACCAGCAUGCUCAGCUUCACCCGCCUGGCCUACAUUCUGCCGGCCCACGAGUCGCUGGGCACUCUGCAGAUUUCCAUUGGCAAGAUGAUUGAAGACAUGAUCCGAGACGUGCGCUCCAAAGACCUCUGACCCCCUGAAACUACAGGCAAAAUUUGGAGGGUUUAUGUUCAUCCUCAUGAUCAUCCUGACCGCCUUCCUCUGUGGCCUCAACAACAUCUAUGUGCCCUACCAGAAGACAGAGUGGCUGGGCAAUUUCAAUGAGACGUUUCAGUUUCUGUUCUGGACCAUGUUCGGUAUGGAAGAGCACAGCGUGGUGGACGUGCCUCAGUUUCUGGUGCCCGAGUUUGCAGGCCGGGCCCUCUAUGGCAUCUUUACCAUCAUCAUGGUCAUUGUGCUGCUCAACAUGCUCAUUGCUAUGAUCACCAACUCCUUCCAGAAGAUUGAGGAUGAUGCUGACGUGGAGUGGACGUUUGCUCGCUCCAAGCUGUAUCUGUUCUACUUCUGAGAGGGCCUGACACUGCCUGUGCCCUUCAACAUCCUGCCCUCCUCGAAGGCUGUCUUCUACCUUCUCAGGAGAAUUUGCCAGUUCAUUUGCUGUUGCUGUUCCUGCUGCAAAACCAAGAAGCCAGACUAUCCCCCGAUCCCUACUUUUGCCAAUCCCAGGGCAGGGGCUGUGCCUGGGGAGGGAGAGCGUGGAUCCUACCGCCUUCACGUCAUCAAGGCCCUGGUACAGCGCUACACAGAGACUGCCCGGCGAGAAUUCGAGGAGACCCGGCGGAAAGAUCUGGGCAACAGACUCACAGAGCUGACCAAGACCAUAUCUCGACUGCAAAGCGAGGUAGCCGGUGUGCGGUGAACUCUGGCAGAGGGAGGGACGCCCCGGCCUCCCGACGGUGCCAGCGUCCUCAGUCACUACAUCACUCAAGUGCACAACAGCUUCCAGAACCUGGGGCCUCCCAUCCCUGAGACCCCAGAGCUGACAGGGCCUGGGAUUGUGAGGACCCAGGAAUCAUCAGGAACCGGGCUUCAGGACACUGGAGGGGUGAGGACUCUGGCUUCCGGAGAGUCUGGCCCCUGCUCCCCAGCUCAUGUGCUAGUUCAUAGGGAGCAGGAAGCAGAGGGGGCUGGGGACCUGCCCCAGGGGGAGGAUUCGGGGACUGAGAGGAGGUCCUGAUACAGUGGAAGAGUCCCUUCUUCUGUUGCUGAGCGUGGUAGCCUAGGAGGGUGAGGGUGGGGGGCCCCUUGGGAGGAGCCUGUGCUGCUUUUCUUGCUUCAAUAAAGUUUCUGCUCUGGA
ensembl:lncRNA TRPC2 transient receptor potential cation channel subfamily C member 2 (pseudogene)